GGUUGUAUUUUGAGUCCGUAAUUGAAUCAAAACUGAAUCAAAACGUGAACAUCGAAACUAUAUUUUGUAUGCUUGUGGAUAACUUUAACC
rnacentral:sRNA from 22 species